ACUUUUUGGGUAACAGCCACUAGAUGGCGCUCCGGUAGCGCGGCCGCCAUUAUGGGGUGAAAAUACUAACUGGACCAUAGAAUCCUUCACAUCUUACGCACCCAAAAUCAGCGAAUUUCACUGCCAAAUCAGAAGCGCAAUAGAACAGUUUUUUAAAAUUAAGUCACCAGUAAAUUGUAUGGCUCCUACAGUAAAUGUUGUAUUGUCUUAUAUAUGUUUUAUUUUACCAGUUGUGGAAUCCAACCAUUCAACCAUAUGAGGUAACGUAGUUAGCCUACUUUAUUGAGUAUUUCCAUUUUAUGCAACUUUACACAUUUAUUAAUAGUAAAUUAAUAAUUAAUAAAUUUAAGAUCAUCAUGUUUGCAGCGAACAAUAUAUUUUAGACCUAGUAGAGUAAUAGUAAUAAUAUCUAGGUCUGAAUUAAAAUAGGCUAUAUUGUACGUUUUAAUGGAUCACGCUACAAACAUAAUGAUCUUAUAAUACAUGAUGCAUUGCUGUGUCCGUUAUCCCAUAAUUCACACUUUUGGACACUUUUGCUUCUGAUUUUGUCUUUGGCAAAGGGCCGACGCAGUCCAAAAUAACAUGCUCGAAAGGCUCACCGAUUACAGGAAUGGGAACCAAUGGAGCAGGUGGAAUCUUUUGAUUUGGCUUUCCCGUUACCUGACAUACAUGACAGAUGACCUGACAGAUAAUGAUCAUGAGCCAAAUUUAACACUUGCUGUCUGUAAGCAGUGGGCAACACAAUUUGACAGAUUUUGGAUGUUCAGCAGCAGAGAAGCACUUUGCCAAAGAAGGAUCGUCUCGCUGUGUUGCGAUCAUCCGUUCGCGCGUAACAGAUACCGUCAACAACUCCGAAUCUUUCACGACGUUAUCAAGCUGUUUAUCAUUUUUCACAACUUCAAAGCAUUGGACCUCAGGCAGAGAGCUUUCCUCAGUAAAAAGCGGCAACAUGAAUGAGUCAUUUAGUGAAAUGUCACUCCCUAUCCUACACUUUUGCGCACGAGUUACAACAUUAGCUGCAAACACAUCUGGAAAUUUAUCAGCAAUAUCGUCAGCACCAACGAAACAAUCAGGUUUGUCA